UACGAGUGCUCCAAGCGUUAUCCGGAAUUAUUGGGCGUAAAGGGUGUGUAGGUGGUUAUGUUAGUCCUGUGUUAAAUCCUCCCGCUCAACGGGAGAACGGCCUCGGAUACGGGCGGCCUCGAGGGAGGUAGGGGCAUCUGGAACUGUGAGUGGAGCGGUGAAAUGCGUUGAUAUUCACAGGAACUCCGGUGGCGAAGGCGAGGUGCUGGACCCCAUCUGACGCUGAGGCGCGAAAGCCAGGGGAGCGAACGGG
rnacentral:rRNA from 1 species